GGCGGCCACCAGGAGGCAGAGCGCCACGAAGAGUCCGAACGAGACGCCCAUCAUGAAGUAAAGAGCAAAACUCUCUGGAUUGGCUGAAACACAGAGGAGACGACAGGUAAUUAAUGUUUCCUUCUUGGCUUUGGUAUCAGAUGACCAUGUUGAGCUGUCGGUGUGAUUUUAUCCACUUGAUUGUGUGAAUAAAUUCUGGUUGACAGUGACUGCUGUCUUUGCGGUUUCGCAUUAACACCUGAGGAGACCAGAGAACGACGAGCAGCAGGUA